rnacentral:rRNA from 1 species
GACGAACGCUGGCGGCGUGCUUAACACAUGCAAGUCGAACGGAAAGGCCCUGCUUUUGUGGGGUGCUCGAGUGGCGAACGGGUGAGUAACACGUGAGUAACCUUCCCUUGCCGUUGGGAUAACUUCAAGAAACUGGGGCUAAUACCGGAUAUGAGCUCCUGCUGCAUGGUGGGGGUUGGAAAGUUUCGGCGGUUGGGGAUGGACUCGCGGCUUAUCAGCUUGUUGGUGGGGUGGUGGCUUACCAAGGCUUGGACGGUUAGCCGGCCUGGGCGGGUGACCGGCAACAUGGGGACUGAGAUAGGGCCAGGACUCCUACGGGGGGAAGAAGUGGGAAAUAUUGAACAAUGGGCGGAGGCCUGAUGAAGCAAGGCCGCGUGCGGGAUGACGGCCUUCGGGUUGUAAACCGCUUUAGCAUGUGACGAAGCGUGAGUGACGGUAAUGGGUAAAGAAGCACCGGCUAACUACGUG